rnacentral:rRNA from 1 species
AUUGAACGCUGGCGGCAUGCUUUACACAUGCAAGUCGAACGGUAACAGGCCGCAAGGUGCUGACGAGUGGCGAACGGGUGAGUAAUGCAUCGGAACGUGCCCAGUCGUGGGGGAUAACUACUCGAAAGAGUAGCUAAUACCCCAUACGAUCUAUGGAUGAAAGCGGGGGCCCUUAAGGCCUCGCGCGAUUGGACCGGCCGAUGUCAGAUUAGGUAGUUGGUGGGGUAAAGGCUCACCAAGCCAACGAUCUGUAGCUGGUCUGAGAGGACGACCAGCCACACUGGGACUGAGACACGGCCCAGACUCCUACGGGAGGCAGCAGUGGGGAAUUUUGGACAAUGGGCGCAAGCCUGAUCCAGCAAUGCCGCGUGCAGGAAGAAGGCCUUCGGGUUGUAAACUGCUUUUGUACGGAACGAAACGGCUCUGGUUAAUACCCGGGGCUAAUGACGGUACCGUAAGAAUAAGCACCGGCUAACUACGUG